CCAAUAACUCUGCAAGAACUCAGACUCAGUCAUCUACCCUGGAGGUGCCAAGUCCCAGACAUGACAGCUACCCUGGAGGAGGAGCCAAGUCCCAGACAUGACAUCUACCCUGGAGGAGGAGCCAAGUCCCAGACAUGACAUCUACCCUGGAGGUGCCAAGUCCCAGACAUGACAUCUACCCUGGAGGAGCCAAGUCCCAGACAUGACAUCUACCCUGGAGGAGCCAAGUCCCAGACAUGACAUCUACCCUGGAGGUACCAAGUCCCAGACAUGACAUCUACCCUGGAGGAGCCAAGUCCCAGACAUGACAUCUACCCUGGAGGAGCCAAGUCCCAGACAUGACAUCUACCCUGGAGGAGCCAAGUCCCAGACAUGACAUCUACCCUGGAGGAGCCAAGUCCCAGAGAUGACAUCUACCCUGGAGGAGGAGCCAAGUUCCAGACAUGACAUCUACCCUGGAGGAGGAGCCAAGUCCCAGACAUGACAUCUACCCUGGAGGAGGAGCCAAGUCCCAGACAUGACAUCUACCCUGGAGGAGGAGCCAAGUCCCAGACAUGACAGCCACCCUGGAGGAGGAGCCAAGUCCCAGACAUGACAGCCACCCUGGAGGAGGAGCCAAGUCCCAGACAUGACAGCCACCCUGGAGGUUCCAAGUCCCAGACAUGACAGCCA
ensembl:lncRNA